rnacentral:tRNA from 2 species
UAGACGGAUGCUCGCUGGUUUGGGCGUUUAGCUGUUAACUAAAAGUUUGUAGGACCGAAGCCUACUCGUCUAG